GCGUCCAUUGUCUAAUGGAUAGGACAGAGGU
rnacentral:tRNA from 2 species